ACGGCGGCCGUUGGGGUACUGCAGCCAACAGUGAAGCCGGCACGGGAGCGCGCACAGACCCCUCACAGCACUGAGUUGUGAUAGUGACGUGUGCAAAACCUCGUCAAUCAUGUCAAGCGACGAAGAUUUUGAUUCGAGCUUCGAGCUGCCAGCUUAGCUGAGAUGCAGACGGCUUUACAGCAUCUGAGCCAGGAGGAGAGGGAUGUCCUCCUUCAGUCGGUGGUGACUCGUCUUCCAGGGGUG